AAAAAGAAAGAAAGAAAGAAAAAUAUCUAGCUUAAAUCAAAGGACUUUUAGGUAUUCAGAAAACCGACUUGGAAAAGUUACUUGGAAAGAAGCAUCCAUGCCUUGAUGGUCUUUCAUAGCGAAAUUCCCCCUGUAGCUCCCUUCAUGCCUCCUGGCAGUGACGGAUCUAAAGGAGGAAGGAUUGGGGUUGCAGCAUCGGGCAUUAGCUCUCACAUCAUUGUAAUCAUGAUUUCACUAGGGAGUAGUUGACUGAUGCCAAACUUACUCUCCCAAAGCCCCUAUACCUGUGGUGACAGAAUAGGCAGACAGCUCCAGGGAGACAGAAACAGAGCUGGGGAGCCUACACCAGGAGAAGCUGCAAUUGGAUAGGGGCAGAAACAGAAACCUUGGUUUUGCCACAGCUGACCAAAGAUUUCCACCAGUUUCUUGGUAAGGAAGAAAGCAAAGCAGGAAUUUGCACGGGAACCUCUGUGUAGAUCUUUUGUGGGCGUUGUCACACACUUCUGUUAACUAGAGAGAAAGCUGCUUGUCGGUUUCAUGGCGGAGCACGGGUCACUUGCUGUCUGUGGAGGUUUUACUAAUGCCUGGAAUUAAAGACCCUCUCCAGGGUGUCACAGACAGGAAAGUGAGUCCUGUGGUAGACGUGGUGGAAUAAUGGCCAGAGGGGGUACCCUUACAGAAUGGCACUUUAACAAGAAUUAGGUCUGCUGGGGUGGGCUUUAUGUGACAUGGAUUUUGAGGGGGUAAGAGAAGGAUGGAGCCAAGGGGGCCAGUCACUGUAGGAAGACCACGCCUCCAGGAGGGACAGCGUUGUGGCCCUCAGAGCUGGAGUGCCUCAGAUGUCUGUUGUGCCCCUGCCCCCACCACAUGGCUGACAUUACCAGCUGACAAGUGGCCAAUUUGAGGAGCCCAACAAUCUGGGAGGGGCUACGCUCCUUGAGGGCACCUGGUCAUGCUAACGGGUGCUCCCGGAGAGUGGCUCCGGGGGUGGAACUUCCAGCAUUGUGGCACCUGGAGGGCCAGGAGAGGGCAUUUUGGGGGCAAGGAGAGACACUGCCGUUGGCUGUCAACCUCACCCGUAGGUAUGUAGGUGGAGCUGAGGCUUUUUGCAGCUCAGCCCUUCCCCUCCCACCCCUCGGUUUGCUCCCUACAAAUCUUUCUCUGGGCUUGCAGGUUGUCAACAUAGGUUAUCAGCAGAGAAAGGGCAAGAAUGGGGUGGAGAUCAGAGAGCAGAGGAGGGAGAGGAAGCAGAAAUUCCAACCGUCAGCACAAACCAGACCCUGAAGGUUCCCGGGAAGGGGUGAGGUGUGAGUAGUUAGUGAAAGGCCAGCUGGUCUCCAUCUGCCUCAGGGUUAUCUGGCUUCCCCUUUAACCCAUGCCUCUGCCGCAGGCUGACUGUGGUGUGGGUGUGGCCCUGCUUACCUGAGCUGAUGGAGAGGCAGGGCCACAGGCUGACCCUGCCGUGGGGCCUGUGCCUACCCCAGGGUGCUGCUCUUCAGAGGCCCGAUAUAGCCUGUCCCUGCUGGUGCCCCCACCCCCUGCCCAGCCUCCAUAGUGGGCCCUGCUCCUUCACUCCUCCCCUUCCCGCCCUAGAUAGGACAUCCUGAGUCCAAGCAAACUGCUCACAAUAACUACUGGGAGAGAAAAGCCCCAGCUCAUUAAAGCCCCCCGUUUCCUCCUGGGCUGUGACACCAGCCCAUCUCCUCUGGUUCCGACCUUUCCCUGCGUCCCGAAUGAACACCCCUGCAUCUUUAGGUGACCGUUGCUAUUUGUCUUGCCAUUUGGGUUUGUUUUUCUGCAGCAGUUCAGAACUAGUGAAGUAAAUCGCUCUCCACACCAGGCUUCGCCCAGGCUCCCUGCCCACUGCAGGAGGGUGUGGGCGAAGUGGACACCCACUCAGAAGCCUCUGGUUCCCAUUUAGGCUCCAGCAGUCACUGAAACCCCAAUGAGCCUCACUUGCAAGGCUGUGCUGAAGAGUAAAUGAACUGUUUGUCACAGGCCUGGCACAAGGGGUCCUGAAGAUGACAGCGGUUGUGGUUGUGACACCUGCCUGUCACAGGCUUGAGGACCACCUGAGGCCUUGUCCAAGGUUACCUGGGUGGUUGGAGCUCCCAGGCCAGUGUUAUUCCCGCUGCCCCACAUUCCCUGGCAUCUCCAGCUUCUUAAAAGCAGAUAUGGGGGGAGAUGAGGGAGGACAAGGGAGGCUAUGUGGGGAGCCCCUGGGAGAUUAGGGGCUGCUGGGCACUGGGUGUCGAGUACGGGAGUCUCCUGCCUGCAGGGGAGGACAUGGAAAGUGGAAGGGGCCUUUCUGGGACGAAUGCUUCUCACUUUUCUCUCACCAAGGGGCUGUUCUGGGCCAGGGAAGGGACCAUGACUUGCGGGCCCGCGUUGGCACAGGCGUCUGCUUAUAGAGCCUCUGGUGCACACACGGUGGUGGGGCAGAGCCUGCUCCUCGGGCCUCCUACCCAGGCCGUGGCCUGGACGUCUUCUGGCUGAGCCACGAGGAGAGGCUCCCAGGAGAAGAGCAGCCAGAAGAGCGUCAGGAAGUGGGGGGCCUGGACCACCCUGGUUCUAACUGUGAAGCAGCUGCUGUUUGUAAAGAAAACGACUUUCUGCAGCUGAGUUGGCUCACGUGAGUGUCUUGGCUGCACUCAGUAAUCUCAACAGAGCAGGUGUGCGGUUUGGCUUUUGUUUUUGAACAUGUGACUCCACAGCCCGAGCUUCCUCUAAAUCCUUUGUCUCUUGCUGAUUCAUAGCAGCUGACCCGUAGCAGGAGAAAAAAAAAAAAAAAAAAACUCCCUAAAAUCCCCAAAGCCUCGGCUCCCUUGUAACAGUGUGACUUUGGCAAGGUUUCAUGGCCAUUUAUCGAGCAGCCACUGAGGGCCAGGAGCUGUGCUGGGGGCCUUUGAUGUAGUGUCUCAUGAACCUCCCCAGUACCUCUUCAAGGUGGCAAGGACCCCAGUUUACAGGGACUCAAGAAAGGUAGGCAGCCUGCCCAAGGCCGUGCAGCCAGUAAAAAGCAGAGGCGAGCUUCAGACCUUCCCUGCUGCCAACAUCUACACCCUCAACCCCUCUCCCAUCAGCCACUCAGGUCUGACCACUGUCUCAGUGGGACCCAACCCUAAAUCAUCCCAAAAAGAUGGCUAAGUUAGGUCAACUUGGGAAAAGAUAGCUCCUUCCCCGUCAGUGCCCACCAAGAGUCCAUGGCUGUGUGGGGUGGGGUAGUAGGGGGCCCAGCCAAAAGCCCCACACACCUGGGUUCAAAUCCCAGCUCCACCCCUGCCACUUGCCAAGCCUCUCUGGGCCCCAUGUUCUUCAUCUGUGAAAAAGGAAUGUUUCGUAGGGAAGAGUUCCUUUCUCUGCUGGGCGCAGUGGCUCACGUCUGUAAUCUCAGCACUUUGGGAGGCCAAGGCGGGCUGAUCACUUGAGGUCAGAAAUUCGAGACCAGGCUGGACAACAUGGCGAAAUUCUGUCUCUAUUAAAAGUGUAAAAAAUUAGCCGGGCGUGGUGGCACACACUUGUAAUCCCAGCUACUUGGGAGGCUGAGGCACAAGAAUCACUUGAACCUGGGAGGCAGAGUUUGCAACAAGCUGAGAUUGCGCCACUGCACUGCAGCCUGGGUGACAGUGAGACUCUGUCUCCAAAACAAACAAAAAGUUCCUUUCUCAUAGGGUUAUGAGGCUUACGUGAGUUACUAAAGUGCCCAGGACGUGGUGAGAGCUGUGCAGAGGUUUGCUGUUACUGCCCAAACCAGCCCCGAGCUGGACUCCAGUCUGAGUGCAACGCUGGAGGAGAGGGCAAAGGGGUCUAAGGAUGUGCCCAUCAAAACACACGGCACUUGGGUGACAGCAGCACAUGAAGCUUGUUCAGAGCCUGUCAUGUCCUCUCUGUACCUGGCCUAUUGUCCUCUGGAUCCGCGAAGGAAUGAGUGGGGCCCCAAGCUCAGUUCUUCCUCCUCUACAGGCCUGGAGGCUCUGUGCACACGCACUUCCUGCUUUCCAGGGGAGACUGUACCUGACGCCGUCAGCAUCUAUUCAGUCCUGAGCAUGGGCCAGAGAGAGUAGCAGACACUUACCUGUCGGGAGGACACACGCCAAGCAGGCCAGCAGCCGGAUGGAGCUUUCCAUGCUGUGAGCAUCUGAACAUCCCAGAGUUUGCAGUUGGAAUCAAAGGCCUCCCAACAAGGAAACAACUAAGUGCUUCAUUUAAUUUUCUGGCAAGAAGCUAAAGAGAAGGUGACUUGAGCUCCUCAUGUGUUUUGAUCACUCAACAAAGAAGACAGAAAAGGGCGUUUCAUAACCUGACAGUGGGAGAGCACAUUAAAAAGAGUGACUUGGAAAAAUCCAGUGUUGGGAAAUACUUCUGACAUGUCUCAGCUGACACAUCUACAGCAAGACUUGUGUGUGCUGAAGUUAACAUCCCAAGAAUAUCCUGGAAGCUGCACCUGAAGAGCUUUCCAGCAGAAGUGAAAAAGCGCUUUUCAUAUCCCAGGUCACUAGUAAAAUGAAGCAGUGCUUAGCAUUUUUAAUACAAGGCAAUAUCAAGAUUUCAAUUCAACUAAUAUCCUCUAUUUUAUUACACAAAAUGAAAUACAUUCUAUUGCCAGCAUGUACUAGAAGUUUGUGCAAUUGGAGAGACCUGAAGUCUUCAAUUUUCCAUGCUUCAGCUAUUACUUUUAAAAAUAAUAUGAAGUGUUGGAUAUGGAUAUAGAAGAAAGCAUUUAAACACUCAUGCUCUAGCAUAAUAAAGAGACUUUCAGCAUUGACACUUAUUUGGUACUUACUAUAAUCUUUAUUUUAUGUAGUUUUUGAUUUUAAGUAGCAGGAGAUGCCCAGUUUUCUUUAAAGCUGUAAUUGGAGACAAAAUGCUGUCAGAUAUUCCUGUAUCCUGGUUAAAACUCUUCCCUCCUCAGAAAACGCUACUCCCAGAAGUCUUGAUUGCAGACACCAGAGAGUGCAGCUGCAAGGAAGCUGCCAAAUUCGUGGCUUCAGUUGUGACUGACUCGUUCUCCCGAUGGGUGCACAAGAACAUUCCCCUCAGCAUGACAGCACAUGCAGAGGAGUACAUAAAUCCAUCACUGGAAAGGGCCAUUCCCAGCGGCCCACUUUUUUCUUUUGAGUCACGUAGACACUUGUCUCAAACUUAUUUCAAGAACACAGCCUGAAUUAUGAUUUCAAGAACACAGCCUGAAACUCCUAAUGGUGUUGAUUCACUCAGACUCAUUGAGCGCACUGGGUGGACACCUCCCUGCAAACCUGCUUCCACAUGAACUCAGGUGCUGCAUGCACCUUGCUUCAGAAAUCACGAAUAAAGGCCUGCCUUUGAGCUUCCAGGAGGAAGCUGUGGCUUUGGUAAAUUGCUUUCUAGUCUACCAGAACUCUGAUUUUGCUGCUUCUCAUCAAUUCUGGUGAGAUAAAACAUUCUCUUCUGAAGAAAAAGAGAAAAAGAGCAAGACUUAGAACUGUGAAGACAAGCCCCAAAUGAUGACUAGUUGGAAAUGAAUAGAAAUGAGGAUGGGUACUUACACCACUCUAGCAGGCUUCCCGGCAGCAGAAGGCAGUGGCUGAUAGAGAUUUGCCUGGCUCCACGACAAGGGAGAGUGCUUCUCAGGAGAUGGUGCUGAAGGGAGGCACCUAACAGUUAUAUACCCAGAGCCCCGCUCUGCUCUGUGUGUUUGUGGGCUCGGCUUUCUCCUCCCACUUCAGGCAUCAAUGCCAAAGCAACACUAAGGAACUGGUCCCCUGGCUUCAGUAACUGAUGUCUCUCUCUGUUCUUGACAUGGUGCCAACUGCUUUGCCACUGUUUCCACAGCAUUCCAGGGUCUUUGACCAGCAAUAAUCCUACAAAAAUACAUCUUUUUCUUCUCCUGUUUCCUCUGGCCCCUACUCAUAUUUUUGGAAAUAUUUACAACUGGAAAGGAUCAACACAGUGUCAAACUAAAAACCAUGGGGCAGGUUGCUGCUGUGUGGACUCGGAAGCUAAGCGACUGCUCCUGGGGUGAAAUUUUCUUAGACUUGACACAACUUCCACACAGAUGUAAGACUCCAGCAAGGGCCUGAGGGGCUGUUGGGAGGGUGGGGAAGACAAGGUACGGGCAAGUUGUUUUCUGAAAGUCAGCUGCCCUUUUUCCCAGUGAGGAGAAAACAAAAAUGUGUUUCCCUGGAAUAUCCUUCUUCCCAGGUGAGAAUUCUCGGACAUACUCUGCUGCCUUUUUAAAAGUCGGGAAGCAAACAUUCCAUAGCAGGGAAAUUUAAAACUGAAUUAAAAUAUCUCCUCCUUA